rnacentral:lncRNA from 1 species
GAGACUAGAGAGAGAGAGAGAGUCGCAGGACAUGACAUGAGCAUGAGGGUCCAAAGUGGUCAUUUUCUAGAGGAAGGGAAGGAACAUUUCUGAAUGCAAAAGAAUACAAGAAGAAAAUCCAAGAGUUGGAAUUGGAUGGCUGUGACCUAAUUUCCUUUUCUUUAUCAUUUAGUGGAACGUGUCUUCCCCUCAACUGCAAGCCGACUCUCUCCUCUCUCUUAACUCAUUAAGCCGAUUCUUUAAAAUUAAAAAUUGAAAUUUAUUUGAAAUUGUUUUCACAUUCAAGUUUUUUUUUUUUUUUUUUUACUUUUGUUACUCUUCUCUCCAAUUCUCACUCUUAUUUUUCUAUAUACUCUAGCAAAAAAAUAAAAUAGUUAUCAAAUUGCUGCAAGUAUAAGAACUAAUAAAAAAAAUAACUAUAGAAAAAUAGUUUUUGAAAUUAGAGAUACAUAAAAAUAUGAAGUCUGCAAGCAGCAUUACCAGUUGAAUAUAUGCUUUAAAAAAAUAGUUUAAUUUAUUCUGUGGCUGGCUGAGAUUCAUUUUUCAAGGGUACAAAAUGUGAAGGAAUACCACGUUUUGGAUUUGAAUUGCACAACUUUUCUUUUUAUUAUUUAUUUUUAAAAAGUGUAUACCGCCCAUGUCAGAAUCUGGCUCCCACAAGACGGUGGGUGCGGAUUCGCUGUGGAAAACCGCACGAUUUGGUUAUUAAAAUACACGGCUGUGAUUAGACGGCAGGUGGGGAAGAUGGCUACGUGUCAGCCACCCGAAAUGAUUUGAAGGAAAACCCCUUGUCCCACUGUCGUUCUCAAUCUCAAGUCUCACCCUUUGACUCUCUUUGUACAAGCUCAGCCAGCCUAGCUCUACAGAGGCCCCACUUGUCCACGCACGCGCGCCUGCUCGCCUGGGUCCCAGGUUGACCCAUCUUAGCUUGCCAAAUCAUGAUGCGUAACCAGUUAAUUAAUUACUAAUUAUUUAAAUCAAGCUGCCAGGUUCUUUAUAAAAGAACAAGCCGGAUCGUUAAUUUGUUUCAAUCAAAAUUUUUUUUUUCUUUUUCUGAAUGGUUUUUUUUCUUUCUUCAUUUUUCUAUUUAAACCUCGUAUUUCUCUUUGUUCACCCUAUA